UCGCUUCUAUGAGCUAGUGAAUCCAUUAAGAAAGGAAAUCUGUGAACUACAAGUGAAAAAGAAUAUCCUAGCAGAAGAAUUAAGUACAAACAAAAACCAACUGAAGCAGCUGACAGAGACAUAUGAGGAAGAUCGAAAAAACUACUCUGAAGUUCAAAUUAGAUGUCAACGUUUGGCCUUAGAAUUAGCAGACACAAAACAGUUAAUUCAGCAAGGUGACUACCGUCAAGAGAACUAUGAUAAAGUCAAGAGUGAACGUGAUGCACUUGAACAGGAAGUAAUUGAGCUUAGGAGAAAACAUGAAAUACUUGAAGCCUCUCACAUAAUUCAGACAAAAGAACGAAGUGAAUUAUCAAAAGAGAGACCAUUAUAAAACAGAAUAUGAAAAUAAACUA
rnacentral:sRNA from 1 species